GGUGCCUUGGCACACAGCUUAGGAACCAUGGCCCUAGAACAUAGUAGGUAUUCAUGAAAAAACUGAACUAUUGGAAUGAUCUUUUUCAAGAAGGUUAAAAAAGCAGCAAGUGGAAAUGUCAAAAGUGAAAACUCUUUUACAUAAAACCUGACAGUGGAACUCAGAUGAUCAGCAAUAUAAAGUUUCUUCAUCCUCACAUAUUUUGCAUAGUUGUGGAAGUUAUUUGCAAAGGGAGGUAUCCUCAGAUCCCUUAGCAGAAUGAAAAUCUGAUGAAUGAAAGCAGCACACAGCGAUGAGAAAUAAUGUGUUGAAAAAUAAAUGCAGGGACUGCUGACUUCA